rnacentral:rRNA from 1 species
GAUGAACGCUAGCGGCAGGCUUAACACAUGCAAGUCGAGGGGUAUAGUUCUUCGGAACUAGAGACCGGCGCACGGGUGCGUAACGCGUAUGCAAUCUACCUUUUGCAGAGGGAUAGCCCAGAGAAAUUUGGAUUAAUACCUCAUGGUAUGUGAGAAUGGCAUCAUUUUCACAUUAAAGUCACAACGGCAAAAGAUGAGCAUGCGUCCCAUUAGCUUGUUGGUAAGGUAACGGCUUACCAAGGCAACGAUGGGUAGGGGUCCUGAGAGGGAGAUCCCCCACACUGGUACUGAGACACGGACCAGACUCCUACGGGAGGCAGCAGUGAGGAAUAUUGGACAAUGGGCGCAAGCCUGAUCCAGCCAUGCCGCGUGCAGGAUGACGGUCCUAUGGAUUGUAAACUGCUUUUGUACAGGAAGAAACACUGGUUCGUGAACCAGCUUGACGGUACUGUAAGAAUAAGGAUCGGCUAACUUCGUGCCAGCAGCCGCGGUAACAC